GAAAGAAUUGCUGAGUGGACAAAAGCGGCAGAUUGUAAAUCUGUUAGUAAUAUCUUUCGUAGGUUCGAAUCCUACUUCUUUCA
rnacentral:tRNA from 1 species